rnacentral:rRNA from 1 species
UGAGUGCGAGCUUCUACGGAAGCGAAGUUGGUGACGUCAAGCUUCCAAGAAAAGCCCUAUACCCGUUAAGGCAUGAUUACCUGUACCCGAAACCGACACAGGUGGGGUGGUAGAGAAUACCGAGGGGCGCGAGGUAACUCUCUCUAAGGAACUCGGCAAAAUGACCCCGUAACUUCGGGAGAAGGGGUGCCAGCGCGAGCUGGUCGCAGUGAAUAGGCCCAGGCGACUGUUUACCAAAAACACAGGUCUCCGCUAAGUCGCAAGACGAUGUAUGGGGGCUGACGCCUGCCCAGUGCCGGAAGGUUAAAGAAGUUGGUCAGCGCAAGCGAAGCUAACGACUGAAGCCCCGGUGGACGGCGGCCGUAACAAUAACGGUCCUAAGGUAGCGAAAUUCCUUGUCGGGUAAGUUCCGACCCGCACGAAAGGCGUAACGAUCUGGGCGCUUCUCGGAGAGAGGCUCGGCGAAAUAGAAUUGUCUGUGAAGAUGCGGACUACGUGCACCCGGACAGAAAGACCCUAUGAAGCUUUACUGUAGCUUGGUAUUGUGCUCGGGCUCGCAAUGCGCAGGAUAGGUGGGAGGCUUUGAUCCAUUGCUUGUGGGUGAUGGUGAGCCACUGGUGAGAUACCACUCUUUGCGAGCUAGGGUUCUAACGGUUACCCGUCAUCCGGGAACCGGACAGUAUCUGGUGGGCAGUUUGACUGGGGCGGUCGCCUCCUAAAAGGUAACGGAGGCGCGCAAAGGUUUGCUCAGGCUGGUUGGAAAUCAGCCGACGAGUGUAAAAGCAGAAGCAAGCUUGACUGUGAGACCUACAAGUCGAACAGGGAGGAAACUCGGCUUUAGUGAUCCGACGGUUCUGAGUGGAAGGGCCGUCGCUCAACGGAUAAAAGUUACUCUAAGGAUAACAGGCUGAUCUCCCCCCAAGAGUUCACAUCGACGGGGAGGUUUGCACCUCGAUGUCGGCUCAUCGCAACCUGGGGCUGAAGUCGGUCCCAAGGGUUGGGCUGUUCGCCCAUUAAAGCGGUACGCGAGCUGGGUUCAGAACGUCGUGAGACAGUUCGGUCCAUAUCCGGUGCAUGCGCAGGAAUAUUGAGAGGAUUUCUCCCUAGUACGAGAGGACCGGGAGGAACGCACCUCUGGUGUACCAGUUAUCGUGCCAACGGUAAACGCUGGGUAGCCAUGUGCGGAGUGGAUAACCGCUGAAAGCAUCUAAGUGGGAAGCCCACCUCAAGAUGAGUAUUCCCAUGGCUUAAGCCAGUAAGGUCACGGGAAGAACACCCGUUGAUAGGCUCUAUGUGGAAGCGCAGUAAUGCGUGAAGCAGAGGAGUACUAAUAGACCGAGGGCUUGAC